rnacentral:lncRNA from 1 species
AGGGGUGUUAAAGAGCUGUCUGGAUUUUGCCCUGGACAACCUGCAUUUGGUGGCCCUGCUUGAGCAGGGGGUUGGACCAGAUGACAGAAGUCCUUUCCAACCUUGACCACACUGUGACUUUUCAAAGACAUCCUAGAGGUCAUCUAUGUGCAAAGAGGAUACCUUAACCCUCAGGUUUUCAUGAUAACUAACCAACAUUUCAUAGAAAAAUGUGUGUGUUUCUCAGCUUUCUUCCUUUUGCCAUGAGAAUGGUCAAUAAAGUGUGUGCUAAACCAACUCACAAAUGGCAUUUUAGACGCUGAUGGGAGGAGAUGGAAAGGAGAGAGAAUUUUCCAAACCUGAAAAUAACCCUUGUUUCCAAAGUCACAGGGCUCUGGUCCCGGAUGUCCACACUACAGACUUAUAAGUUUGAUGCCCAGUUAUUCUUGAACAGUUCAAGUAGAUCUGGUGGAAGGAAACUGUGGUUAGCACACAGAGAAUAACUCCUUGCACAGGGUGCACCAUGUCUCACUCUUCCUACCUGAGAAGGUCCUCCAGAAAUAACACCUCAAUAGGCCAUGAAAAGCAGCUCAUGGCACCUCCCUAAAGGACAGAUAUCAUGCAAGGGAGCAGCCUUUAAUGAACAGGAGAUAAGCACUGUAAGAAGCACAGCACUAAGAGGCUGAGACAAGCUCUGGGGACACUUUAUCUCAAUUCCACUACACCCCACUACCCAUG